rnacentral:SRP_RNA from 1 species
GCUGGGCGUGGUGGUGCGCGCCUGUAGUCCCAGCUACUUAGGAAGCUGAGGCAGGAGAAUUGCUUGAACCAGGGAGGCAGAGGUUGCAGUGAGCCGAGAUUGUGCCACUGCAUUCCAGCCUGGUGACAGAGUGAGACUCUGCCUCCA